CCUACGGGGGGCUGCAGUGGGGAAUAUGGGACAAUGGGGGCAACCCUGAUCCAGCCAUGCCGCGUGUGUGAAGAAGGCCCUCGGGUUGUAAAGCACUUUCAGUGAGGAAGAACGCCUGGUGGUUAAUACCCAUCAGGAAAGACAUCACUCACAGAAGAAGCACCGGCUAACUCCGUGCCAGCAGCCGCGGUAAUACGGAGGGUGCGAGCGUUAAUCGGAAUUACUGGGCGUAAAGCGCGCGUAGGUGGCUUGAUAAGCCGGUUGUGAAAGCCCCGGGCUCAACCUGGGAACGGCAUCCGGAACUGUCAAGCUAGAGUGCAGGAGAGGAAGGUAGAAUUCCCGGUGUAGCGGUGAAAUGCGUAGAGAUCGGGAGGAAUACCAGUGGCGAAGGCGGCCUUCUGGACUGACACUGACACUGAGGUGCGAAAGCGUGGGUAGCAAACAGGAUUAGAUACCCGUGUAGUC
rnacentral:rRNA from 1 species